UACGUAGGGGGCAAGCGUUAUCCGGAUUUACUGGGUGUAAAGUGAGCGCAGGUGGUCAGACAAGUCAGAAGUGAAAGCCCGCGGCUCAACCGCGGGACUGCUUUUGAAACUGCCAGACUGGAGUGCAGGAGAGGUAAGCUGAAUUCCUAGUGUAGCGGUGAAAUGCGUAGAUAUUAGGAGGAACACCGGUGGCGAAGGCGGCUUACUGGACUGUAACUGACACUGAGGCUCGAAAGCGUGGGGAGCAAAC
rnacentral:rRNA from 1 species